CUGUGCUGUGACAUCCACCUCUUGCUAUGGAAAUACAUGGCCAUGCAGUGGAAUGUGGAAGAUGAAAAGAUUCCAGACUCUACAGACACCCACAAAACCAAGAACCUCUGAAUAAUGACAUUACAGACGUACUGCUUGUGCAUCAGUCCUAGCCCAGAUAAGAAGGGAAUCCUGAAGAAAUGGCUAUACUGCUUCUCAUGAGACGAGACAUGCAAAGAAAAUAAACAAUGCGAUGAUAACCAAACAAGUACUACAUGAGGAACUGAAAGUGGGAAAAUGAAAACAAGGAGAACAGAGAAAAACAGAACACCAGACAAUGUUAUAUUCAAACUGAAAACGGGAUUUCUGAGCCCUUUGACUUUUUCUGGAUGCAGCAGAAGAAUAGGAAAUGAGCUGUCUUCACUGGAUCAUGGAUGAGAUGCCGAAGAGUAUUCAAGAAGCAAGGCCUGGACCUAUCAACAACUGCCACGUAGAGCCAUAGCUGUGACACCCAAGGCAGAUAAAAGGUGGUCACUUUGAAUCGAGAUAAAGGAAGCAGAGAAGAAGAGCAAGAGGAAAGCAGCAUUCAGAGGGAAGCAGUGGAUGAAGCUGCACUGAAGAGAAGCAGCAUGAAAGAAGCAGCUUUGGGGCAAAUGGCAUUCAACUAACAACUAAAAACUAAAUAAACCUUUCCACAGUAA